AUGGUUCCAUAUGAUGGUUUCACAAAGGCAGAGGAAGUUUCCAUGGUGUUCAUGCCAAUUUGGCUACAGAUUCACAAGAUCCCAGAAGGUUUCUGCAGGAAGAACAUUGUGGAAAAUUUGCUGAAAAACUCUGGCGAGAUCCUGGAGAUGAGACUGAACGGGAACACCCGUGGUGACUACAUUGGGGUUAGGGUUCGGCAUGACGUGCGCUGGCCUCUCACCAAGUUUGUCAGUAUUGUCAGGGGGAAAGAACGCCAAGUCUACUUGGUGCGUUACGAGAAACUCGCACGCUUCUGCAGUGUGUGUGGGCUCAUCGGUCAUGAUUGCAAAGAGUGCGGAUCAGGGGUGCAUGAGGAGAAGGACAAGAAGUAUGGGUCUUGGCUCUAUGCUGAUGGACUAAAUAAACCGCCGUCCAACGAUAGUUAUGGCCGGGGAAGGAGUCAGAAGCAACAUACGCCUCUGAAAGGAUCGAUAUGGUUGACUAGAGGGGGGGUGAAUAGGCAACUAACAAUUUUUAAGCUUUUCUUUACCAAAUUAAACUUUGCAACAAAAUAG
rnacentral:rRNA from 1 species